GAUGAACGCUGGCGGCGUGCCUAAUACAUGCAAGUCGAGCGAACAGACGAGGAGCUUGCUCCUCUGACGUUAGCGGCGGAUGGGUGAGUAACACGUGGAUAACCUACCUAUAAAACUGGGAUAACUUCGUGAAACCGGAGCUAAUACCGGAUAAUAUAUUGAACCGCAUGGUUCAAUAGUGAAAGACGGUUUUGCUGUCACUUAUAGAUGGAUCCGCGCCGCAUUAGCUAGUUGGUAAGGUAACGGCUUACCAAGGCAACGAUGCGUAGCCGACCUGAGAGGGUGAUCGCCGACACUAGAACUGAUACGCGGUCCAGACUCCUACGCGAGGCUACAGUCGGGAUACUUGUCCUAUGGGCGUAACCCUGGAGGGUCAACACGCCGUGGGUGCUGAAGGUCUCUGCUUCGUGUAUCUCUGUGAUCAGGGAUAAACUACAGUUUAAGUAACUAUUCACGUCCUGACGGUACAUUAUCAGAAAACCCCGGCUAACGACGUC
rnacentral:rRNA from 1 species